GGGAGUUGUAGCUGAUAUCGAUGCAGCAGCAGCAACACAGAAGAAGUGGUGUUGUAGCUCGCCUCUUCUUCGACUCCAUGGUUUAGGUUGUAACUCCUGAGAAAUGUCUGCUAAGUGGCACCUAUCUUUGCAUGAUGGUCUUGGAGGUUCCCUCCAGUAUGGUAGCUAGUUAAGUGAUGGACGGACGAGCCGCUGAGCCUUGUUCAACCAACCAAUGCUAGUCGAGGGUGACACUGGAGGGGUACACUGGGCAGCAACUCUUUCAUGGUGCCCCGUCGUGAAGGGAGAAGUGGAUCGGAGGUGGCUAGGAUGGAGGGAGCCAUGGCUGCUGGAUCCCUUUGGCCGGUUAGGUACUAGUGAGCUUUAGGUGGACUAAUACUGUGGGUCCUCGAUGCGUGGCCUGGAUCAUUUCAUCUUAGGUUAUCAGUGCUAGAUCAAUUGGCCUGAAGCAUCUAUCUUAC